rnacentral:rRNA from 1 species
UGGGGAAUUUUGGACAAUGGCGAAAGCCUGAUCCAGCAAUGCCGCGUGUGUGAAGAAGGCCUUCGGGUUGUAAGCACUUUUGUCCGGGAAAGAAAUCCUUGGCUCUAAUACAGUCGGGGGAUGACGGUACCGGAAGAAUAAGCACCGGCUAACUACGUGCCAGCAGCCGCGGUAAUACNUAGGGUGCAAGCGUUAAUCGGAAUUACUGGGCGUAAAGCGUGCGCAGGCGGUUUGCUAAGACCGAUGUGAAAUCCCGGGCUCAACCUGGGAACUGCAUUGGUGACUGGCAGGCUAGAGUAUGGCAGAGGGGGGUAGAAUUCCACGUGUAGCAGUGAAAGUGCGUAGAGAUGUGGAGGAAUACCGAUGGCGAAGGCAGCCCCCUGGGCCAAUACUG